AUGUCCGGUCGCGGAAAGGGUGGAAAGGGCCUGGGGAAAGGAGGUGCGAAGCGCCACCGCAAGGUUCUGCGUGAUAACAUCCAGGGGAUUACCAAGCCAGCUAUCCGCCGCCUAGCUCGGCGUGGCGGGGUGAAGCGCAUCUCCGGCCUCAUCUAUGAGGAGACCCGUGGGGUGCUGAAGGUGUUUCUGGAGAACGUGAUUCGGGAUGCCGUUACAUACACUGAGCACGCUAAGCGCAAGACUGUCACUGCUAUGGACGUGGUCUACGCGCUCAAGCGCCAGGGACGCACUCUGGUCCCUAUAUAUAUUGGGACGACUGGCUCCUCUUCCUACUGUUAAAGUAAUUGGCGCUAUCUGUGCAUUGCUCGCACUAAGCAGACCGCUCGCAAGUCCACCGGUGGUAAGGCGCCGCGUAAGCAGCUGGCCACCAAGGCGGCCCGCAAGAGCGCGCCGGCCACGGGCGGCGUGAAGAAGCCGCACCGCUAUCGGCCCGGCACGGUGGCCCUGCGCGAGAUCCGCCGCUACCAUAAGUCCACGGAGCUGCUGAUUCGCAAACUGCCGUUCCAGCGCCUGGUGCGCGAGAUCGCGCAGGACUUGAAGACCGAUCUGCGUUUCCAGAGCUCGGCCGUGAUGGCGCUGCAGGAGGCGUGCGAGGCCUAUCUGGUGGGGCUCUUCGAGGACACCAACUUCCAAAUAGUUUUCACCAUGUCUGGUCGUGGCAAAGGCGGUAAGGGCCUUGGAAAAGGGGGCGCUAAGCGUCAUCGCAAAGUUCUGCGCGAUAACAUCCAGGGUAUUACGAAGCCCGCUAUUCGACGUCUGGCCCGGCGUGGAGGUGUGAAGCGCAUUUCUGGUCUCAUCUACGAGGAGACCCGCGGGGUGCUGAAGGUGUUUCUGGAAAACGUAAUCCGGGACGCGGUCACCUACACAGAGCACGCCAAGCGCAAGACUGUUACCGCCAUGGACGUGGUCUACGCGCUCAAGCGCCAGGGACGCACUCUUUACGGCUUCGGCGGUUGAGUGUUCGCGCACUUUGUUCAACAAAAGGCCCUUUUCAGGGC